rnacentral:rRNA from 1 species
GACGAACCGUGCUAACGUUGUUCGGAAUCACUGGGCUUAAAGGGCGCGUAGGCGGGCCGGCAAGUCAGGGGGUGAAAGCCCGCGGCUCAACCGCGGAAGCGCCUCUGAUACUGCCGGCCUCGAGGGGGGUAGGGGCGUGCGGAACUUCCGGUGGAGCGGUGAAAUGCGUAGAUAUCGGAAGGAACACCGGUGGCGAAAGCGGCGCGCUGGACCCCUUCUGACGCUGAGGCGCGAAAGCCAGGGGAGCAAACGGG